AGGGACCAUGCCCUUUGACGCAGGUUGCUGGUUUGGAUUUCUUUGCGCAGACCAUGGCAGGUUUUGCAAGUGCCUCCUAGUGGCUUUUAACUGUUGGAUGGACUGUGCUCGUUCCCGCCGGAGAAGGGAGAGACCGUCCAUUCUAGGACAAGCAGAAUAACCGAAUGAGUAAGAAUUUCAAGCAGAGGGAUAGCUCGGUUUGGUUAAGGGAUAGCUGCGCAAUUAAGAAGGCAUGAGUUCGAAUCCCCAGCAGCCACAUAAAAGCCAGCCUGGGGCUGCCCGAUUGUAAUCCCGAAUCUGGGAAAGCAGAUAUGGGAAGAUCCCUGGGGCUAAUUGGACAGCCAAUCUAGCUAAUCGGUGAGCUCCUGUUUCCAUGAGAGAUCCUGCCUCAAAAACUAAGGUAGAGAGGAAUUGAGGAACACACGCGCGCACGCACACACUCACACACUCCCUCACGCGCGAUUUUAGAAGCCUAUAAGGAUUUCAGAAGCAUAUCAGACAUGAUAGCACAUGCUUGUUAUCACUUGGCACGUAGGAGGCAGAGGCAGGAGAAUCACCAUAUAUUUGAACCCAAUGUGGUUUACAUAGUGAAUUUGAGGCCAGUCAGAGGUAGUGUGUGGUGUUUUGUGUUCCCCAAAAUAUUGUGUACCCUAAUAAACUUAUCUGGGGUCAGAGAACAGAAAAGCCACUAGAUACUUAAGAUAGGCAGUGGUAGCACACGCCUUUAAUCCUAGCAUUCCAGAGGCAGAAAUCCAUCCAGGCAUGGUGACUCAUGCCUUUAAUCCCAGAAAGCGAGCCUUUAAUCCCAGGGAGUGAUGGCAGAUAGCAGAAAGGUAUAUAAGGCAUGAGGACCAGAAACUAGAAGCAUUUAGAUGGUUAAGCUUUCAGACUUCUAGCAGCACAUUUCAGCUGAGAGCCAUUCGGAUAUGAGGACACAGAGGCUUCCAACCUGAGGAAACAAGACCAGCUGAGGAUCCGGCCAGAUGAUGUAACCGGUGGCAACUUGAAGAUAACUGGGAUGAACAGGGGAAAAUUUACCUUUUCAAAAGCCAGGAGAGAGCUGGGUGACCAUCGGCCUGGCAAGCACCGGGAAGAAUAGUGAAGGCUGGGAAGUCUGCUUAAGCUAGACUUCGAACUAGUGAAAUGUAAUAAAAAAAAAGGCCAAAUGAGGGGGCCUCAGCAGCCAGCUCACCUCGCUUUCUCUGUUCCUCCCAGCUUCAAGCUUACCUCACAGCACUGAUACUUGCACCUUCCUCCGCGUGGCCGCUCUUCUGGCUCCGGUGAUGGCUGGCUCCGGUGAUGGCUGGCUCCGGUGAUGGCUGGCUCCGGUGAUGGCUGGCUCCGCCGGUGAUGGCUGGCUCCGCCGGUGAUGGCUGGCUCCCUUUGCGUUUGGUUGCAGAGCAGUGACAGCUCCCCAGGGAUGCUUUACCACUCUCUGAAACUGCCCACUUCCCCUUGACGUUAACCCAACAGCACACCAUUUAGCGAGUAAAAGACAGGCUGCCCAACUUGACAUGAAUUUCAGGGAACAAACUCUUAUUUUUAUAAUAGAUACCGCCUGAGAACACUUACCCUAAAGAAGUAUGCGUUGUUUAUGUAAGGUUCCAAUUAAAUUGGGCAUUCUGUA